GGGGGUGCACUGGUUUCGACGGGGGUUGUGAAGUCGCUUGGCGCAUGCCGAGGGGGUAGCUUUCCUCGUAAAUCCAGCUGCAAAACUCAUAGUUGCCAACGACGACAACUACGCUCUCGCCGCUUAAGGCGUAGCCCCGAACCCACUUGUGCCCGUGCUCGUGGAUGUAGGGUCAUUAUCACGGAACCGGCUGUGACGGCUGCCUGUCAGUCAUGGCUUAACCCAAACAGGCUGGUCCUGGGGUGCGCUUUGCACACCGUGCUGCCACAGGGCGAGAUUCAACGGUGAGCUAAGCAUGUAGUGCCGGGGAUGGAGUGCCUUCGGACGGCGGUUCAAUUCCGCCCACCUCCACCA
rnacentral:tmRNA from 1 species